GAUAAUUUGAUUGCAGGUUGUGUUUAAGGAAACGGGGUGUGAUUCCCCUGCUGUGCCGCAACUGUAAGCUACAAGCGGUUGACACGCUUGUAGUAAAGCCAGAAAACUAACAGCCUCUUAUUCCCGAGC
rnacentral:ncRNA from 2 species